UGGGGAAUAUUGCACAAUGGGCGCAAGCCUGAUGCAGCCAUGCCGCGUGUAUGAAGAAGGCCUUCGGGUUGUAAAGUACUUUCAGUCGGGAGGAAGGUGGUAAGGUUAAUAACCUUGGCAAUUGACGUUACCGACAGAAGAAGCACCGGCUAACUCCGUGCCAGCAGCCGCGGUAAUACGGAGGGUGCAAGCGUUAAUCGGAAUUACUGGGCGUAAAGCGCACGCAGGCGGUUUGUUAAGUCAGAUGUGAAAUCCCCGGGCUCAACCUGGGAACUGCAUCUGAUACUGGCAAGCUUGAGUCUCGUAGAGGGGGGUAGAAUUCCAGGUGUAGCGGUGAAAUGCGUAGAGAUCUGGAGGAAUACCGGUGGCGAAGGCGGCCCCCUGGACAAAGACUGACGCUCAGGUGCGAAAGCGUGGGGAGCAAACAGG
rnacentral:rRNA from 1 species